rnacentral:misc_RNA from 1 species
GGAAUGCAACUUCAAUAUCCAGUAAGUUUUCUAUUCUUUGAAGCAAGUUGUCAUUUAUUUGUUUUUCAUGUGCUCAUUUAUGCUUCCUAAUUGCUGCAUGGUUAGUAGGUACCUUAUCUCAUAACCUUUUUUUGUCAUAAAAUAGGUAAAAAUAAAUGUAAAUGUUGAAGGAAACUGGCCUUUCUUAUUCUGUUUCAAAUGCUCAUGGACACAUGGCAUCAAACUGGGCGUUGAAUUUUGUGUUUUUGAGAUAUCUUUCUCUGAGGAGGUUGCAAUGUAUCAAUGGCUGGAAUAUUUGCAACUGGAUUUUCCUUGUGAUGAGCAGCCUGUGCAUGGUUUUGAUUUAACUCUAGUUUGAUA